AUUGAACGCUGGCGGCAGGCUUAACACAUGCAAGUCGAGCGGGCGAGGUUGCUUCGGUAACUGAGCUAGGGGCGGACGGGUGAGUAAAGCUUAGGAAUCUGCCUAUUAGUGGGGGACAACAUUCCGAAAGGGAUGCUAAUACCGCAUACGUCCUACGGGAGAAAGCAGGGGAUCUUUAUGACCUUGCGCUAAUAGAUGAGCCUAAGUCGGAUUAGCUAGUUGGUGGGGUAAAGGCCUACCAAGGCGACGAUCUGUAGCGGGUCUGAGAGGAUGAUCCGCCACACUGGGACUGAGACACGGCCCAGACUCCUACGGGAGGCAGCAGUGGGGAAUAUUGGACAAUGGGGGGAACCCUGAUCCAGCCAUGCCGCGUGUGUGAAGAAGGCCUUUUGGUUGUAAAGCACUUUAAGCGAGGAGGAGGCUUACCUGGUUAAUACCUGGGAUAAGUGGACGUUACUCGCAGAAUAAGCACCGGCUAACUCUGUGCCAGCAGCCGCGGUAAAAC
rnacentral:rRNA from 1 species